ACUCCUACGGGAGGCAGCAGUGAGGAAUAUUGGACAAUGGACGCAAGUCUGAUCCAGCCAUGCCGCGUGCAGGAAGACUGCCCUAUGGGUUGUAAACUGCUUUUAUUUGGGAAUAAACCCCUCUACGUGUAGAGGGCUGAAGGUACCAAAUGAAUAAGCACCGGCUAACUCCGUGCCAGCAGCCGCGGUAAUACGGAGGGUGCAAGCGUUAAUCGGAAUUACUGGGCGUAAAGCGUGCGUAGGCGGUUGCGUGUGUCGGAUGUGAAAGCCCCGGGCUCAACCUGGGAAUUGCAUUCGAAACUGCGUGACUAGAAUGUGGUAGAGGAAGACGGAAUUCCACGUGUAGCGGUGAAAUGCGUAGAUAUGUGGAGGAACACCAAUGGCGAAGGCAGUCUUCUGGGCCAACAUUGACGCUGAGGUACGAAAGCGUGGGUAGCAAACAGGAUUAGAUACCCUGGUAGGAUACCGU
rnacentral:rRNA from 1 species